rnacentral:lncRNA from 1 species
AGAAGAGUAAAGUGCUCCACUGAGAAGACUUCGAUAUAAUUGAUGUUGUCUGAACAUCUUUUGGACACACAGCUGGGCCUACCGGGUUAUUGGGCUUUUCACAAUAUUUAGAGUUUGGGUUAUUAGUGUUGGGCCAACUGAAGAUGCAGCCAUUUUUUAUUUUUACACAUUCUUUUUAUUAUUGUAAAUAGCAUGUGAAUAGUUAUAGAAUAACCAAUAGAAUAGAGAUAAGUGUACAGGUGGUUAUUUCUUAGAUUCCUUUUGUUGUAGAUAAAUAGUACACUGUACAGUGCUGAUUUCUUUCAAUAUAGAAAAUACACAAUAUUUUCUCAAAUCAGAUUUCUUCAUUUCUUUCAUGGUAUCAAAGCAGUGAGCUCGAUCCAACAGUUCAUCCAUCAAAUUUUUUUUAUAUCAAAAUUCAAUCUCAAAUCAGUAGCCUAAGAUGGUUGAAACAACUAUAACUCCUACUGCUGAAGCAAGCAGUGUUGCCAAAUUUGUAGCCUAUGAUGCUAAUCAUCCCUAUCAUCUCAACAGUUCUGUCUCGCCUGGAAUGACCUUAGUGAACUCUGUAUUUGAAGGAAGAGGAUAUCCAGGAUGGAGAAGAACCAUUCUCCUGUCUUUAUCAGCCAAGAAGAAGAUUGGUUUUAUCAAUGGAGGCUGUCGACCUCUAGAUCUGAAGUCCCCAGAGUAUGAGCAAUGGAGUUGUGUGAAUGACAUGGUCAUCUCUUGGAUCCUAAAUGCUCUUUCAAAUUACAUUGCAGAUAGUGUGAUCUACUCCAAGACUGCAAAGGACCUUUGGGAGAGUCUUGAGCAAAGAUUUGGAAGAUCCAAUGGAGCCAAGCUAUAUCAUCUGCAAAAGGAAUUAUUAGGAUUAGCACAAGGAAAUUGUGACAUUGCAGGAUACUUUACUAAAAUCAAGAGAUUAUGGGAUGAAUUAGAUGCCUUGAAUGUUAUCAUAUGUUGUUCUUGUGUUUGUGAAAGAAAGGCAAAGCUAACAAAAUCGCUGGAAGAUCAGAGAUUGAUUCAAUUCCUAAUGGGUCUAAAUGACACCUAUGCUCAGGCAAGAGGGAACAUUCUUAUGAUGAAUCAUCUACCUAGCAUGGAUGUUGCUUAUUCACUCCUCCUGCAAGAUGAGAAUCAAAGAAAAGUUUAUGCUAAUGCACAAUUCAAUUCUCAGUCAGUGUCAUUCAUGGUAGUAGGAGAAGACAAGCUACCUAAUGCACAACUUCUAGCUGACUUUACAGCUUUCAUGAGCACAGGACAAGGCAAGAAUUUUCAAAGAAGCAGAAAUCAAGCACAAAGAGGAGGAGGCAUAGGGCCCAAGUUCAACAACACAGGGCAGAGGUUUGCUAAGCCUCAGCAGAAAUUCAAAGGGAGGAAGAAGUAUAAUCCAAACGUGACCUGUUCUUAUUGUGGAAAAACAAGAUAUUCUCAAAAAGACUGCUACAGGAUCAUUGGUUUCCCAGAAGAUUUUGAGUUUACAAAUCAGAAAGGGUAUCAGAAUCAAAUCAAAGGAAAUACAGUACUAAUAUAUGAAGAACAUGAAGGAUCAGCAGGACAAAACAGUGAACACAACAACAAUUUUGGUCAGCAACUCAGCAAGGAAUAGGUAGCAGAAAUGAUGCAGAUGUAUAAGCAGGCAAAGCUAACACAUGGAGGAAAUAAUAGGAUCAAUGCUAAUGCAGUUGCUGGUACAAUUCUAAAAUAUUCAAGUUCAGUAUUUACUACUCUAAAAUCAGACACCUAGAUCAUUGAUUUAGGUGCCUCAGAGCACAUGUGUUUUGAUCCAAAUUCUUUCUUGUUUUUAACUCCUCUCCCUACACCUUUAAACAUCAGUUUGCCUAACUCUUUCAAGGUAAUUGUUACUCAUAUAGGAAGUAUCUCUAUUCUACCUGUUCAUACUCUGAACAAUAUACUGCAUGUUCCAGAGUUCAAAUACAAUUUGUUAUCAGUUCAUAGAAUUUGUCUUCAAUUCAAAUAUGAUGUAUUGUUCACAUCUGUUGAGUGUGUGUUGCAGGGACUUUCAAUGAAGAGUCCUCAAGCUUUUGGUGAAGUUAGAGAGGGACUCUAUUUAUUGGAACCAAAUAGUGUCAAGUCUAAGGGUGUUUUUAGUAAUGAUGUAUUUUCAAUUUCAAAAGGAAGCAAUUCCAUUUCAAAGUCAGUUUCCUUUUCUAGUUCAAUUCAAGCUAAUGUUGUUAGUGAUUUUAAGCUUUGGCAUGUAAGGUUGGGACACCUCCCAUUUUCAGCAAUAAAACAUUUAGAAUUUCUUCAUUGUAAACCAGAUUCUGCUUUUAUCUGUAAUGUUUGUCCUAGGGCUAAACAAACUAGAAAUCCUUUUCCUGUUAGUACAAUAAGGUCCAAACAAAUAUUUGAACUCAUUCAUGUUGACACAUGGGGACCCUAUAGGUCAAACAUCUACAAUGGUUUCAGAUAUUUUCUAACUAUAGUAGAUGACUAUAGUAGAGGAACAUGGACAUUCUUGUUAAAUACAAAGAGUAAUGCUUUUCCUAUGCUCAAAGUUUUUCUGUCUAUGGUUGAAAGACAAUUUGAUGUAAAGGUGAAAAUCAUAAGGUCUGACAAUGCACUAGAAUUGGGAAAAGGAACACAAGAGGCAGCUUAUCUUUCCUUUCAAGGAAUUCUACACCAAUUGUCUUGUGUAGCAACUCCUCAACAAAGUAGGAUUGUUAAGAGAAAACAUAGACACCUCUUAGAAACCUCAAGGGGCUUAAUGUUUCAGUCUAAACUGCCUAUGAAAUAUUGGGGGAAGUCUAUCCUAACUGCUACACACCUCAUUAAUAGGAUGCUUUCUAGUGUACUCAAUGGAAAGACACCAUAUGAGGUUUUGUUUCAGAAAAAGCCUAAGUAUGAUUACUUGAGGAAUUUUGGUUGUCUUUUUUAUGCUUCAACACUGGCUCAAGGAAGAGAGAAAUUUGAUGAGAGGGCAACAACUUGUAUCUUACUUGGGUAUCCCCUCCAUCAGAAGGGGUAUAAGUUGUUGGAAUUGAAAACAGGAAAGGUAUUUGUGUCAAGGGAUGUGAAGUUCCAUGAAUCACAUUUCCCCUUUGUUGAAAACAAGUCUUCAUACCAACCCAUAUUCCCAAAUCCAACUCUCACCACAGAACCUACACAUCCACAACCAUCAGAUGAUCAAAUCUCACCCAUUCUUUUAGAGCCUUAGAAUUCUGACAGUUUUUCCUCACCCUCAUCUCCACAUACUUGUACUCAACAGUCUCCCUCACAACAGUCUCCUAGUCCAGCCUCUUUUAAACCUAUCCUAGACACAUCAUAUCUCACCUCACCUACCCAAGCAUGUCAACAGCCCACACCAGUGAGAAGAUCAGGAAGGGUAUCUAAUCAACCAGUUUAUUUGAAGGACUAUGUGUGCAGCAACAUCAUGUUCACAGAUGUAGAAGCUGCUUGUUUCAAUCAACCAAGUAAACCUAGACAAUACUAUUUUCCUCCCUAUCACCUAAUAAUCAACACAUCAUACAAUCUAUUUCUACACUCACUGAACCUACCACUUUUUCUCAAGCUUGUCAAUAUCCAGGUUGGAUAGAGGCAAUGGAAUAAAAAAUCAAGGCCCUAGAAGACAAUAACACAUGGGAUGUGGUUGAAUUGCCUAAAGGAAAAAAGCUCUACCUUACAAAUGGGUAUAUAAGGUAAAGCACCUCUCAGAUGGAAUUAUUGAAAGAUUGAAGGCCAGACUAGUAGUCAGGGAGGAUAUUCAAAGAGAAGGGAUAGACUAUAGUGAGACUUUUUUACCAGUUGUGAAAAUGACAACUAUAAUGUGUUUGCUCACUAUAGCAGCCAAGAGAGAUUGGAAUGUCUCUCAAUUGAAUGUCAACAAUGCAUUCUUGCAUGGAGAUCUUCAGGAAGUGGUAUACAUGAAAUUUCCCUCAAGUGUUACACCUCCUAGUCCUAAACAUGUAUGUCUUCUCAGAAAAUUAUUGUAUGGUUUGAAGCAAGCUUCUAGGCAAUGGUAUGCCAGGCUUGCUGGAGCUUUGAGUUUUAAAGGAUAUUCAUCAUCAUUAAAUGAUUAUUCUUUAUUUUUUAAAUGUAUAGGAAAGUUAAUUUCUAUUCUAGCUGUAUAUGUAGAUGAUAUUUUACUUACUGGAAAUGAUUUAGAAGAAAUUCAGCAUAUCAAAGGUUUUCUCAAUACUGAAUUCAAGGUCAAAAAUUUAGGGAACAUACAUUAUUUUCUAGGAAUGGAAAUUUUGCGAGAAAAGGAAUGAUUCAUUCUGAAUCAAAGGAAAUUUACCUUAGAUAUGCUACAGGAAUUUGAUGUCUCUCACUUGAAACCAGUUAGCUCUCCCCCGGAUCCCUCUUCCAAGCUUGACUCUGAUGAUGGACGACCUUUGGAAAAUCCCAGUCUUUCGUCAUUUGGUUGGAAAGUUGAAUUACUUAACCAAUACUCGUCCAGACCUCUCGUUUGCAGUUCUCUCUCUCAGUCAGUACAUGCAGAGGCCCUGUAUUUCUCAUUUCACUACUGCAUUGAGAGUUUUGAAGUAUCUGAGUGCAGAUCCGGGUCAGGGUAUUCUUCUUUCAGCUGCACCAUCCUUUUCUCUGCUUACAUUCUGCGAUGCAGAUUGGGCUUCUUGUAAGGAAUCCAGAAUAUAUGUCAAUGGCUAUUUCAUCACACUUGGAGGAGUACCCAUUUUCUGGAAAUCAAAGAAACAAGUUUCAAUAUCUUUGUCAUUAGGAGAGGCGGAAUACAGAUCUAUGAGACGAGUUACAACAGAAUUUACUUGGCUUGUUCGACUCCUUGAAGAUCUUUCUGCACCAGUGGCUCUUCCCAUUCCACUUCAUUCUGAUAGCAAAACAGCUAUACAUAUCACUCGUAAUCCCGCUUUUCAUGAACGGACAAAACAUGUGGAGAUAGAUUGUCAUUUUGUCCGUCAACAAUUCCUUUCUGGGCUAAUCAGUCUGUCUUUUGUUCCUUCUAAAGAUCAAUUGGCGGAUCUCUUCAUUAAGUCACUUUCAGGGGUUUCUCAUUCACAGAUUUUGAGCAAGUUAGGGGUCACAAGGUUACCCUCUAACUUGAGGGGGGAUGUUGAGAAGAAGAAACCACAUCCUAAUUAUAUGAUUCAUGGAGCUAUCAAGGAGAAAGAAGAAGAAACGAAGGAGAUGAAGAAGAAGAAGAAGAAGAAGAAUAAAGUAGAGAUGCAGAAGAAGAGUAAAAUGCUCCACUGAGAAGACUUCGAUAUAAUUGAUGUUGUCUAAACAUCUUUUGG